rnacentral:rRNA from 1 species
AUGCCCGCAGCAGCACUCCAGCCACCUGCGCUCCUUCCCCAGCAGUGCACCCUGGCGCCGCCUCGUCCCCACACAGCCCGCGAGGCACCGGCCUCCUCUGCUUCGCGCCUCCCGAGCACCGACCAAGAGCCCGAGCUCCAUCUUCUACGCCCGCGUCUGAGCGAGAGGAGCUCGCUGCUCGAGCAUGCACAAGACCCAUGGCGCCCUCCCGAGCUCCUCCGAUGCGUGCCUCCACUCGUUCUCGUCUCCCUCCGUCUUCAUCGCAGCACCAUAGGACCAACAGCUCCACCGCGCGUGCCUGUCGGUGGCAAGAGUCCCAGGCCAGACCAGUUUGAUGGAGUUCCCAAAAUGCCCGACUCCAACGGCAAUGACAUGCACCACGAGGAGGAUGAUGGCCUCUUCACCUACUCCGACCCCGUCCUCCCUGACGCCUGGUCGUAG